rnacentral:rRNA from 1 species
GUGACUGCGUACCUUUUGUAUAAUGGGUCAGCGACUUAUAUUCUGUAGCAAGGUUAACCGAAUAGGGGAGCCGAAGGGAAACCGAGUCUUAACUGGGCGUUAAGUUGCAGGGUAUAGACCCGAAACCCGGUGAUCUAGCCAUGGGCAGGUUGAAGGUUGGGUAACACUAACUGGAGGACCGAACCGACUAAUGUUGAAAAAUUAGCGGAUGACUUGUGGCUGGGGGUGAAAGGCCAAUCAAACCGGGAGAUAGCUGGUUCUCCCCGAAAGCUAUUUAGGUAGCGCCUCGUGAAUUCAUCUCCGGGGGUAGAGCACUGUUUCGGCAAGGGGGUCAUCCCGACUUACCAACCCGAUGCAAACUGCGAAUACCGGAGAAUGUUAUCACGGGAGACACACGGCGGGUGCUAACGUCCGUCGUGAAGAGGGAAACAACCCAGACCGCCAGCUAAGGUCCCAAAGUCAUGGUUAAGUGGGAAACGAUGUGGGAAGGCCCAGACAGCCAGGAUGUUGGCUUAGAAGCAGCCAUCAUUUAAAGAAAGCGUAAUAGCUCACUGGUCGAGUCGGCCUGCGCGGAAGAUGUAACGGGGCUAAACCAUGCACCGAAGCUGCGGCAGCGACACUAUGUGUUGUUGGGUAGGGGAGCG